rnacentral:rRNA from 1 species
AUUGAACGCUGGCGGAAUGCUUUACACAUGCAAGUCGAACGGCAGCACGGGAGCUUGCUCCUGGUGGCGAGUGGCGAACGGGUGAGUAAUAUAUCGGAACGUAUCCAAUAAUGGGGGAUAACUAGUCGAAAGAUUAGCUAAUACCGCAUACGCCCUGAGGGGGAAAGCUGGGGAUCUUCGGACCUAGCGUUAAUGGAGCGGCCGAUAUCUGAUUAGCUAGUAGGUGAGGUAAAAGCUCACCUAGGCGACGAUCAGUAGCUGGUCUGAGAGGACGACCAGCCACACUGGAACUGAGACACGGUCCAGACUCCUACGGGAGGCAGCAGUGGGGAAUUUUGGACAAUGGGGGCAACCCUGAUCCAGCCAUUCCGCGUGGGUGAAGAAGGCCUUCGGGUUGUAAAGCUCUUUCGCAAGGGAAGAAAACUUAACCUCUAACAUAGGUUGAGGCUGACGGUACCUUGAUAAGAAGCACCGGCUAACUACGUGCCAGCAGCCGCCGCCG